CAAUAGCGUAUAUUAAAGUUGUUGCAGUUAAAAGCUCGUAGUCGGAUUUCGGGUCGGGCCGAGCGGUCUGCCGAUGGGUAUGCACUGUUUGGCGCGGCCUUCUUUCCGGAGACCGCGGCUACUCUUAACUGAGCGGGCGUGGGAGACGGAUCGUUUACUUUGAAAAAUCAGAGUGUUUCUAGCAGGCAGCUCGCUCUUGCAUAGGUUAGCAUGGGAUAAUUUAAUAGGACUCUGGUGCUAUUUUGUUGGUUUCGAACACCGGAGUAAUGAUUAAAAGGGGCAGUCAGGGGCACUCGUAUUCCGUCGAGAGAGGUGAAAUUCUCAGACCAAUGGAAGACGAACCACUGCGAAAGCAUUUGCCAGGGAUGUUUUCACUGAUCAAGAACGAAAGUUAGGGGAUCGAAGACGAUCAGAU
rnacentral:rRNA from 1 species